rnacentral:rRNA from 1 species
AACGAACGCUGGCGGCAUGCCUAACACAUGCAAGUCGAACGAGACCUUCGGGUCUAGUGGCGCACGGGUGCGUAACGCGUGGGAACCUGCCCUUAGGUUCGGAAUAACUCCCCGAAAGGGGUGCUAAUACCGGAUAAUGUCUUCGGACCAAAGAUUUAUCGCCUUUGGAUGGGCCCGCGUUGGAUUAGCUAGUUGGUAGGGUAAAAGCCUACCAAGGCGACGAUCCAUAGCUGGUCUGAGAGGAUGAUCAGCCACACUGGGACUGAGACACGGCCCAGACUCCUACGGGAGGCAGCAGUGGGGAAUAUUGGAAAAUGGGCGGAAGGCUGAUCCAGCAAUGCCGGGUGAGUGAUGAAGGCCUUAGGGUUGUAAAGCUCUUUUAACCGGGAUGAUAAUGACAGUACCGGGAGAAUAAGCGCCGGCUAACUACGUG